GUAUGUGAAAGCAAUCUGACUGCAACAUCUGUCAACUCAUUCAUCACCAGGGUUGAUUUGGCAGAUCACUGGCUAUGCAGAGAUCCCCUUCCUCCUUCACUGCUUCACGUGCUUUUCUCCUGAAGCUGAGCACUUAGUUGAAGAGGAUGACGUUCCUCAAUAGAGGAGUACCAUUCUGUGAUCAAGGGUACACAAGUAGCUGCACUUCCCUGAUAGAAUCUCCAAACAUGAUCUCAAGAAGUAGCAAGAUUAUCCUGUUACUGAUCUUACAGAAUAUAGAUCAUCCA
rnacentral:snRNA from 10 species